rnacentral:rRNA from 1 species
GACGAACGCUGGCGGCGUGCUUAACACAUGCAAGUCGAACGGAAAGGCCCUGCUUUUGUGGGGUGCUCGAGUGGCGAACGGGUGAGUAACACGUGAGUAACCUGCCCUUGACUUUGGGAUAAAUUCAGGAAACUGGGGCUAAUACCCGAUAGGAUCUCCUGCUGCAUGGUGGGGGUUGGAAAGUUUCGGCGGUUGGGGAUGGGCUGGCGGCUUAUCAGCUUGUUUGGGGGGUAGUGGAGUACCAAGGCUUUGACGGGUAGGCGGCCUGAGAGGGUGACCGGCCACAUUGGGACUGAGAUACGGCCCAGAAUCCUACGGUCGGCAGCAGUGGGGAGUAUUGCGCAAUGGGCGGAAGCCUGAUGCAGCAACGCCGCGUGCGGGAUGACGGCCUUCGGGUUGUAAACCGCUUUCGCCUGUGACGAAGCGUGAGUGACGGUAAUGAGUAAAGAAGCACCGGCUAACUACGUG